rnacentral:rRNA from 1 species
CCCAAACCAAUAAAGUUUUCUUUAUUGGGGUUGCGGACAUAUCAUAACGAAGAGGUAUCGUAAUUGAAGAGGUUUGGAAAGACCCACCACAGAAGGUAAUAGUCCUGUAUGUUAAACGAGAAGACUUUAGAUAUGAUCCAGAGUACCACGGGACACGUGAAACCCUGUGGGAAGCAGGAGGGACCACCCUCCAAGGCUAAAUACUACCUAGUGACCGAUAGCGUAUAGUACCG